AAGUCGUAACAAGGUUUCCGUAGGUGAACCUGCGGAAGGAUCAUUAUUGAAAUAAACCUGAUGGGCUGUUGCUGGUUCUCUAGGGAGCAUGUGCACGCCUUGUCAUUUUUAUGUCUCCACCUGUGCACCUUUUGUAGACCUUUCCAGGUCUAUGUUGCUUCAUUUACCCCUAAUGUAUGUUAAUAGAAUGUUGUGCCUGUAUAAUACAUACAACUUUCAGCAACGGAUCUCUUGGCUCUC
rnacentral:misc_RNA from 1 species